AGUUCGGAAACAAUGCUUGGUGGGAACCUGCAAUCUUGGCUGCCGGAACCUUCGGGGAGGAUUAACGCCGGCGCACCGUGCGGCCGGGGCGGGGCGCCGCCCAAACUCAGGCCCUGUGACAGCGACUGUGGCGGUCUGGAAAGCGUGGGCCUCGGUCAUUGGGCACGAGCGGUCACGUGACAGCGGGUUCCUCCAGGCCAGCGCUGGUGGUUGAGUGAUGUAAUCACGUGGGGUCUGAAGUCUUCGUGGGUGUAGGUUUCUUCGUUAUGCUGACGACAGGCAGUGCCCGAACUCUAGGCUGGGAGUUGUGCCAUGCUGCUGCUUUCGUGGGCUGACCAGAAAAGGGUAGAAGGAUUGACGUUUACGAAGUUUUUGAAUCAGGAGGCAAGGUCGCCUUGUGCCCCCAAAAGGAUAGAAAAAGGCCUGGCAAACUGGAGAAUCGCGUCCUUACGGUGCCUACAUAUUUAUAGUACGAAUUAAACUGCUCAAGGGGUGCUAGGUUUGUCUGCAGUCCGUUUCUCCCUCAUGGUGGAAGACGCGUGGGGAAACUUGGUAUCCUGUGUUUUCCAGUUGAAAGCUUGUGAAAAUUCGCUUUAUCCUUGAAGUUCAGAAUUUUCACCAGGAUGUAUGAAGACCCUGUCCUCGAUGGAUCAGCUGGCACCACCCAGAUGGAUAAACUGGCUCAUCUGAUCUUGUGGCCCCCAUCCAGGAAGUGACUCAGUGUAAGAAGACAGCUUCAACUCCCUAUGAUUUCAUCUCUGACCAAUCAGCACUCUCGGCUCACUGGCUUCCUCCAACCCA
rnacentral:lncRNA from 1 species